rnacentral:rRNA from 1 species
GAUGAACGCUGGCGGCGUGCUUGACACAUGCAAGUCGAACGAUGAAGCCCAGCUUGCUGGGUGGAUUAGUGGCGAACGGGUGAGUAACACGUGAGUAACCUGCCCUUAACUCUUGGAUAAGCCUGGGAAACUGGGUCUAAUACCGGGUAGGAGCGUCCACCGCAUGGUGGGGGUUGGAAGGAUUUAUCGGUUUUGGAUGGACUCGCGGCCUAUCAGCUUGUUGGUGGGGUAAUGGCUCACCAAGGCGACGACGGGUAGCCGGCCUGAGAGGGUGACCGGCCACACUGGGACUGAGACACGGCCCAGACUCCUACGGGAGGCAGCAGUGGGGAAUAUUGCACAAUGGGCGCAAGCCUGAUGCAGCGACGCCGCGUGAGGGAUGACGGCCUUCGGGUUGUAAACCUCUUUCAGUAGGGAAGAAGCGAAAGUGACGGUACCUGCAGAAGAAGCACCGGCUAACUACGUG